rnacentral:rRNA from 1 species
CCUACGGGUGGCAGCAGUGAGGAAUAUUGGUCAAUGGACGAGAGUCUGAACCAGCCAAGUAGCGUGAAGGAUGACUGCCCUAUGGGUUGUAAACUUCUUUUAUAUGGGAAUAAAAUGUUCCACGUGUGGGAUUUUGUAUGUACCAUAUGAACAAGGAUCGGCUAACCUCGUGCCAGCAGCCGCGGUAAUACGGAGGAUCCGAGCGUUAUCCGGAUUUGUUGGGUGUAACGGGAGCGUAGGUGGAUUGUUAAGUCAGUUGUGAAAGUUUGCGGCCCAACCGGAAAAUUGCAGUUGAAACUGGCAGUCUUGAGUGCAGUAGAGGUGGGCGGAAUUCGUGGUGUAGCGGUGAAAUGCUUAGAUAUCACGAAGAACUCCGAUUGCGAAGGCAGUUCACUGGACUGCAACUGACACUGAGGCGCGAAAGUGUGGGUAGCAAACAGGAUUAGAUACCCCAGUAGUC